rnacentral:rRNA from 1 species
AUUGAACGCUGGCGGCAGGCCUAACACAUGCAAGUCGAACGAGUGGCGGACGGGUGAGUAAUGUCUGGGAAACUGCCCGAUGGAGGGGGAUAACUACUGGAAACGGUAGCUAAUACCGCAUACCAUCGGAUGUGCCCAGAUGGGAUUAGCUUGUAGGUGAGGUAACGGCUCACCUAGGCGACGAUCCCUAGCUGGUCUGAGAGGAUGACCAGCGACACUGGAAGUGAGACACGGUCAAGACUCCUAAGGGAGGCAGCAGUGGGGAAUAUUACACAAUGGGCGCAAGCCUGAUGCAGCCAAGCCGAGAGUAUUAAGAAGGCCUUCGGGUUGUAAAGUACUUGCAGCGGGGAGGAGUUACCAGGAGAAGAAGAACCGGCUAAAGCAGUGCCAGCAGCCGCGGUAAUAC